CGGAGCAGGAAUGCUUGGUGGCACGUCACCCUGGAGCUCUCGGAGCCUGGCAGUGUGCCGGGACGGCCCGUCCGUCUUCCUGAAAUGUUCCCAGGGCAUCGAGCGAUGGAGAGCCAGGCAGCAGUUGUAAGAGGAGAGUACAAAAGUUUUUUUCUGAAAGCUGCCAUUGAAUUUGCAUGGAUUUGGAAGUUAAAGGAGUUGCUGCAUCCCCUCGAAGGAAGACUGAGUUGUCAUUGAGGGGGAAGAAAUGUCAGGGCUGGAGACCAAAUAGACAGGCUACACACAGUCCUCACCCACCAGAGAUGGAGACUCUUGCAUAGCAUACACUAGAAGUUCUUCUCAUAGAUGCCAACUAGAUUCAUCUUCAGAGUGGAGAACGCCAUUACAGACUCCAUAUGCACAGCAUCAACAUAUCAGGCUGUCACUACAAAUAUCUUUAUAAUAUACCCCUUUAGCAGUAAUUUAGAGAAGCAUGCAUAUGUUUUUAUGUGAGUUCUUUUUUUUUUUUUUCCUUUUGGUUAAGCUCGUAUCUCCAAGUGCUGUUGGUCUGAAAUAUUUAUAGCAAAGUCCUUUUACUGAGAUUCUUUAGCACAUUUAGAAAAAAUCAUUUUAUUACAUAGCUUAGUUCUUUGUUGAUUGAUGCACUUACCCUUUUGUUGUACUUCUUUUUAAGAGCUGUAUUAAUAGUAGAAAUGACAAAGAUUAGUAGUAGUAAGUGUGUGAUUGAAGACAAAAAUCUGUGUUUACAAACACUAAGCAUUAUUUCUAUGGAACAGUAGUUACUUCUGGUGAAAGGAAAACUUCUGGAAUUACUUGCAACCAUUUAAUGUGUUUUUUCUUACGGCUGUUGUCUUUAAAACAGA